AUACGGAGGGUGCAAGUGUUACUCGGAAUCACUGGGCGUAAAGCGCGCGCAGGCGGGCUGAUAAGUUGGCUGUGAAAGCCUACGGCUCAACCGUAGAACUGCAUCCAAAACUGUCAGUCUAGAGUCUGGGAGGGGAAGAUGGAAUUAGUUGUGUAGGGGUAAAAUCCGUAGAGAUAACUAGGAAUACCAAAAGCGAAGGCGAUCUUCUGGAACAGUACUGACGCUGAGGCGCGAAAGCGUGGGGAGCAAACAGGAUUAGAAACCCUAGUAGUCC
rnacentral:rRNA from 1 species